rnacentral:rRNA from 1 species
GAAACGACUGCUAAGACUGGAUAGGAAAUUAGAAGGCAUCUUUUAAUUUUUAAAAGACCUUUUUCGAAAGGUAUACUUAAAGAGGGGCUUGCGGCACAUUAGUUAGUUGGUAGGGUAAAAGCCUACCAAGACCAUGAUGUGUAGCUGGACUGAGAGGUUGAACAGCCACAUUGGGACUGAGACACGGCCCAAACUCCUACGGGAGGCAGCAGUAGGGAAUUUUCGGCAAUGGAGGAAACUCUGACCGAGCAACGCCGCGUGAACGAUGAAGUAUUUCGGUAUGUAAAGUUCUUUUAUUGAAGAAGAAAGAAUAGUGGAAAAACUAUCUUGACGAUAUUCAAUGAAUAAGCCCCGGCAAACUAUGUGCCAGCAGCCGCGGUAAUACAUAGGGGGCGAGCGUUAUCCGGAAUUAUUGGGCGUAAAGGGUGCGUAGGCGGUUUGGUAAGUCUAUAGUUUAAUUUCAGUGCUUAACACUGUUCUGCUAUAGAAACUAUCAGACUAGAGUGAGAUAGAGGCAAGUGGAAUUCCAUGUGUAGCGGUAAAAUGCGUAAAUAUAUGGAGGAACACCAGAGGCGUAGGCGGCUUGCUGGGUCUUUACUGACGCUGAGGCACGAAAGCGUGGGGAGCAAACAGGAUUAGAUACCCUGGUAGUCCACGCCGUAAACGAUGAGUACUAAGUGUCGGGGAAACUCGGUACUGAAGUUAACACAUUAAGUACUCCGCCUGAGUAGUACGUACGCAAGUAUGAAACUUAAAGGAAUUGACGGGACUCCGCACAAGCGGUGGAUCAUGUUGUUUAAUUCGAAGAUACACGAAAAACCUUACCAGGUCCUGACAUACUCUGCAAAGCUAUAGCAAUAUAGUGGAGGUUAUCAGGGAUACAGGUGGUGCAUGGUUGUCGUCAGCUCGUGUCGUGAGAUGUUAGGUUAAGUCCUAAAACGAGCGCAACCCUUGUCACUAGUUGCCAGCAUGUUAUGAUGGGCACUUUAGUGAGACUGCCAAUGAAAAAUUGGAGGAAGGUGAGGAUCACGUCAAAUCAUCAUGCCCCUUAUGAUCUGGGCUACAAACGUGAUACAAUGGCUGUUACAAAGAGUAGCUAAAACGCGAGUUUAUAGCCAAUCUCAUAAAAGCAGUCUCAGUUCGGAUUGAAGUCUGCGACUCGACUUCAUGAAGUUGGAAUCGCUAGUAAUCGCGAAUCAGCAUGUCGCGGUGAAUACGUUCUCGGGGUUUGUACACACGGCCCGUCA